CCCCCGGGUCAAAUGGACCGUCUAUAUUUUUCACGUGCCUUAUACAAAUCCUCAAUUCUGCAUAAAAAAAUAAAUUCAGUACAACUACCGCCAUCUAUUAAAUAAUUUGUAAAAGUGUGCGUUUGUGAAAUCAGUCCCUGUACCUUAACCUAUAAAACAGCGUGUUUUAUUGUAACUUUUGUGUGUGACAAAUUUGCGCAAAUAGGCUGUUGAAAUAAAUGUAAGAGUAAAAUUUUGUAUGGCUUUUAAAGCUGAUGUUUUUCUUCAUAUUUUGAUUGUGUUGCCAUUGCUUUUAAAAAUUUGGAUUUCUGAAUCAAAAUUAAUUUAAAAAUUUGUUGCUACUGGGGGUAAAAUGGUCCCUCUUAGUUGAGGUAAAAUGGUUCCGGCGUCCAUUUUACCUCAUUUUUUGUCGCAGUAAAUUUAUAAUGGCAUAAUUUAAUUUUAUGCGUUCCUUCCUACAGAAUGGUAAGGAAUUACUUACGAAAAACCACAAGACAGCAGUGGACUGCAGAUUCAAUGCAGCUUGCGCUCCAAGACAUUUCUAAGGGCAUGUCUUUUAAAAGAGCUGCUAGGAUUUAUGAUUUGCCACUAACUACUUUGAAAAGAAGAGCAAAAAAUCAAAAUAAACUGAUUGGAAAUUCAAACAAUCCAGCACAUCAGAUCGCCCUCUAGUGGUAGGUAAUAUCGAUUGUGUCGUUCAGCGUGAACAAAGAACUCCUCCAUUGCCUACCACAUCUCGUGCAGAAGGAUGGAAAAGAAAAGGUAGCAGUGAAUUUUCAUCUGAUGAAGAAGAGGAAUGGGAGGCAAGCGGUCGAUCUUCAGAUGAAGUGAGUCUUUUUUCGGACACUGUGGAGAAUUUACCUAUGGAAAAUGUUUCUUCAAUCCCUGAUAGUAUCGCUGAAGAACCCAAAAUUCUGAAAUCCUACCUUUGGUAAUUCCAUUUGACAUUUCGCCACCACCUGUGGCACCUCCCCAAACUAGAAGUUCAAGACCUUCUCAAGGGGCAACUGUCUUUACUUCCACGCCAAACUAUAUUGCACUAAAAGAAAAAUCAAAACCAUCUAAACCACCCUCCCAAGCAGCUAAAAAGGCUGUAACGAAAAACCUAUUUUCAAAAAAGAAAGGAAAAAAAGAAACAAGUGUUCAGGAAGCUAACACUGCUUGCAUGUUUUGUGAAGAAUUGUUCAAUCUCGGUCGAAAGAGAUUUGGAUCCAAUGCAUUCUAUGCCGAAAAUGGUGUCAUUUACUGUGCGCAUCUGUUACUGGGAAGCAGAAAGUGUACACUUGCGAUUUUUGGUAGACCGGGGUCAGCAGAAACAGGGCACGGUUCAAACAGCGCUAGUAAUUCAAAAACUAAUAUCAUAUCGGGGCGCGCGCAAGGAGUAGGAGACGCUGCUUAUGUGUCGGAACCAAUCGUGAGAAAAUGGUGCCACUUCGAGCGUAAUCAUAUCGUGUCAAAGUAGUGGUUGUAUUUUGGUGUGCAAAAAUGCCUCGAAAACGUGUAAAAAAGACAAAUAAAGGACAGAGUAGUAUAGCACAGUAUUUGGAAGCCUAUGAAGAAGUGAAAAAUGGCAUGUCUCUUAGAAAAGCCGCUGAUAAAUACACUUUAAAUCACGUAUCCCUCCUACGAUAUAAAAGAAAACGAGAGGCUAAUGGAGAUGACAGUGGAGCAUCAACUUCCAUGGGCUACGUAGCUCAUAAUAGAGUCUUCGCGGACGCACAAGAGAAGACUAGCGGAAUAUUUGAUGUUAUGUGCUGACAUUUAUUUUGGUCUACCCCCAAAAGAAGUGAGAAAGCUAAGUUACGAAUUAACAUUAAAGUACAACCUAAAACGGCCAAGUUCCUGGGAUGAAAACCAAAUGGCCAGAGAGGAUUGGUUUAGUGCUUUUAUGCGUAGAAAUACGGAACUUUCAUUAAGGGCUGCUCAAGCCACAAGUUUGUCCAGGGCGACUAGUUUUAAUCGAACGAACGUGGAUGCGUUUUACGACAAUUUACAAAAAGUUAUGGACUGUGAUAGUUUCGAGCCACAAGACAUUUUAAUAUGGACGAAACAGGCGUGACUACCGUCCAGCGUCCUGACAGAGUGUUUGCCAGACGCGGCAUUCGUAAAGUUGGAUCGGUCACUUCAGCAGAGCGUGGUACACUCGUUACGAUUGCUUUCGCCGCGAAUGCCAUAGGAAACGUUAUACCACCUCUAUUUGUAUUUCCGCGUGUUCGGUACCAAGACCAUUUCAUAAGAGAUGGCCCAUUAAGUGCAGUGGGAACAGCAAAUCCUUCAGGAUGGAUGCAAGACGAAGGUUUCAUGCUGUUUUUGAAACAGUUUCAGAAACACACAAACUGUUCA